UACGUAGGGUGCAAGCGUUAAUCGGAAUUAUUGGGCGUAAAGGGCGCGUAGGCGGCGCCACAAGUCACCUGUGAAAACUCUGGGCUCAACCCAGAGCCUGCAGGCGAAACUGUGGUGCUGGAGUAUGGGAGAGGUGCGUGGAAUUCCCGGUGUAGCGGUGAAAUGCGUAGAUAUCUGGAGGAACACCGGUGGCGAAGGCGGCAUCCUGGACCAACACUGACGCUGAGGAGCGAAAGCCAGGGGAGCAAACGGG
rnacentral:rRNA from 1 species